rnacentral:rRNA from 1 species
AUUGAACGCUGGCGGCAGGCCUAACACAUGCAAGUCGAGCGGAUGAUGGGAGCUUGCUCCUGGAUUCAUCGGUGGCCGGGUGGGUAAUGCCCAGGAAUCUGCCUGGUAGUGGGGGAUAACGUCCGGAAACGGGCGCUAAUACUGCAUACGUCCUGAGGGAGCAAGUGGGGGAUCUUCGGAUCUCAUGCUAUCAGAUGAGCAUAGGUCGGUUUAGCUAGGUGGUGGGGUAAAGGCCUACCAAGGCGGCGAUCCGUAACUGGUCUGAGAGGAAGAUCAGUCACACUGUAACUGAGAAACAGCCCAGACUCCGACGGGAGGCAGCAGUGGAGAAUAUUGGACGAUGCAGGAGAGCCUGAUCCAGCCAUGCCGGGUGUGUGAAGAAGGUCUUCUGAUUGGAAAGCACUGAAGGUUGUAAGGAUGUGCAGUAAGUUAAUACCUGACUAUAUUGACAUUACCAACAGAAUAAGCACCGGCUAACUUCGUG